AUUGGAAAAACAGGUCCAAUCCAAGGAUGCACCAACUCACAAUUUACAGGACUUAAAGUAUCUGCUGUUGACGGCUUGGUGCCAGAAACCACAGCAAACCUUCAAAGGUCAAGUGGAGUCAAUGAGAUCCCGGUUCAGGGCUACUUUGACUGAAAAAUGGAAACCACCUCAAUAUUAAGCAGGUGGUAAUAAUCUUAUGGCUGACUGGUGUAAAUGUGACAGUUGAGUGAUGGGAAGGGACUGAAGGUCCAGAAGCAUCUGGUGUACUCGUGGAGAAUGGAAAUGAAUGUUGCUGAUGAAGUGGGAAUGUGGCUGGAGGGAGGGACAGAAGGGCCAAGGCAAAGCAAAGACAUCAGCUGCUUUCUCCUGUUGCUUUAAACCUUCUUAUAAACGUGGAACUUUGGCUGUGGAUUCGUUUUGCUGCUCUUUUCUUUGGUAAGACACAAAGAACAACAUGUUUUUAUUCUUCUUCACAUGUUUUCAAUCAUUUCUUCUCAGGUUAACUGUAAUCUAUCUGAUAAUAAAUAUUAAAGCGGUCACAGCAGAUUCACAACAAUUAGCACCUUUUACAUGUCAGGGAACAAAGUGGCUCCUCAUCAGAUGUGAAAGAGGAAACCCGUCAGCUGAAAUAUGUCAUGAUGACGACAUACAAGACAAGUUGUACACGGAAAGGAGAGUGUCAGUAGGAUGUGUUGAGUGUCAGGUUGUCAGUCAGGGGAACAACACAGGGCUGUGAAUGAGCCCUGUCACUGUGAUCAGGCUCCUCCUUCUAAUCCACCAACUUAGUGUUGAUGAAGACCAAACAGAGAGAUCACAGCCUUCUUUAUACUCGCUGGAGCUCACAGUUACUCAGCACUGCAGACAUGACGCCUCUGUUCACCUCACUGUUGCUGGCUGCUAUGUGCUUUGAAUGCAGAGCACAGAAAGACAACGUGCUGCAACCAAAAGAAGAUGUGACUGCUGCUGAAGGAGAGGCAGUAACACUUGGCUGUCAAUAUAACAGCAGUGGAAC